CCUACGGGAGGCAGCAGUGAGGAAUAUUGGUCAAUGGGCGUAAGCCUGAACCAACCAAGUCGCGUGAGGGAUGAAGGUCCUACGGAUCGUAAACCUCUUUUAUAAGGGAACAAACUGCGGGACGUGUCCCGUUUUGGAUGUACCUUAUGAAUAAGGAUCGGCUAACUCCGUGCCAGCCGCCGCGGUAAUACGGAGGAUCCGGGCGUUUUCCGGAUUUAUUGGGUUUAAAGGGUGCGUAGGCGGCGUUGUUAGUCCGCGGUGAAAGGUUGUGGGCCAACCACUGAAUUGCCGUGGAAACUGGGAGGCUUGAGUGUGUGUGAGGCAGGCGGAAUGCGUGGUGUAGCGGUGAAAUGCAUAGAUAUCACGCAGAACGCCGAUUGCGAAGGCAGCAUGCCGGGCCAUGACUGACGCUGAUGCACGAAAGCGUGGGGAUCGAACAGGAUUAGAUACCCCGGUAGUC
rnacentral:rRNA from 1 species